UACGUAGGGUGCAAGCGUUGUCCGGAAUUAUUGGGCGUAAAGAGCUCGUAGGCGGUUUGUCGCGUCUGUCGUGAAAGCCCACAGCUUAACCCUGGGCCUGCAGUGGGUACGGGCAAACUAGAGUGCGGUAGGGGAGAUCGGAAUUCCUGGUGUAGCGGUGAAAUGCGCAGAUAUCAGGAGGAACACCGGUGGCGAAGGCGGAUCUCUGGGCCGUAACUGACGCUGAGGAGCGAAAGCAUGGGGAGCGAACAGG
rnacentral:rRNA from 1 species